UGGGGAAUAUUGGACAAUGGGCGAAAGCCUGAUCCAGCCAUGCCGCGUGAGUGAUGAAGGCCCUAGGGUUGUAAAGCUCUUUCACCGGUGAAGAUAAUGACGGUAGCCGGAGAAGAAGCCCCGGCUAACUUCGUGCCAGCAGCCGCGGUAAUACGAAGGGGGCUAGCGUUGUUCGGAAUUGCUGGGCGUAAAGCGCACGUAGGCGGAUUGUUAAGUCGGGGGUGAAAUCCCGGGGCUCAACCCCGGAACUGCCUUCGAUACUGGCAAUCUAGAGUCCGGAAGAGGUGAGUGGAAUUCCGAGUGUAGAGGUGAAAUUCGUAGAUAUUCGGAGGAACACCAGUGGCGAAGGCGGCUCACUGGUCCGGUACUGACGCUGAGGUGCGAAAGCGUGGGGAGCAAACA
rnacentral:rRNA from 1 species